UUGACGGCAACAGGAACAUAAUAGAAAAAAGUAGUUCCUUUUUUUUGAGAAGUUUUUCUUUUAGCUGUAAAAAGCUAGCGACUUCUUAAAAAUUUUAGGAGAAUUACUAAAUCUGAAUAACUAGAAAAGAAACACCAUACCAAGAAGGUAUGAUAGAAAUUAUCAAUAUUGCCUAUACGAUGAAUGCGCAAGGCAAGCAAAGAGUUAGACCAAAAUCUGAUUUAAUAAAUAUUGUAGAAAACAAUCAAAUUCUUCAAAAACCCUCAGAGACUACACGUUGAACAUCGAAAAAUCGAUGAUGAUAUAGUCCAUACUUUCUAGCGAUAGAAAGAGAAAUAUUAAGCCUAUGGUAGCGAAAUUCCUUGUCGCGUAAGUUGCGACCCGCACGAAUGGCAUAACGAGUAGAGGACUGUCUUAACGAACAUCCCGAUGAACUUACAGUGGCGGUGAAGAUGCCGUCUACCCGCAGCAAGACGGAAAGACCCUAUGAAGCUUUACUAUAGCUUGUCAUUGCAAUUUUAUUUUUAUUGUUUAGCCUAGGUGGGAGACUUUGAGGCUCAGGCGCCAGCUUGAGCGGAGUCAAAAGGUGAAAUACCACCCUGUACAAAUGAACUUGCUAACCACGGUUUAACCUGCCGUGGGACAGUGACUGGUGGGUAGUUUAACUGGGGCGGUUGCCUAGGUUUGGUGCAAUCCGUUACGCUCCAAUGCAAAUUGGAGAAGCACCUUACUGGGCGGUCCCGCAGCAAUGCGGGACGCAUACUGAGCUGUAUGCUGGAAGUACUGUUUCUUAAAUGAAUGCAGAUUCUAAAGUACCACUGGUCGACAGGGUAAAAAACUUUAGACGCAGUUAAUCAGCAGGGAAGUCUGCGCCAAUUGGCGCAUGACCCCUCAACGACUACAUGCUUGGCAUCCCGAUUUAAAUUCGGGAUGAUGAUAUAGUCUGAACUGUAUGGCGACAUACAGAUUCCGGUCCGCCGGUCGGCGGAUAUGCCGGAAACUUAAUUUUAUGAAUAGUAACGAAAUAAAGAGUUUUGCGGAGUCUGUUAAGCUAAGCGAAGAACAACGAGAAAUUCUUGUUGGAACUCUGCUGGGCGAUGGACACUUAGAAACUCAAAACAAGGGUAGAACUUUUCGUCUUAAAGUAGAACAUUCAAUAAGCCAAAAAGACUACACGGAUUGGUUAUAUGAGAAAUUUAAAAAUUUCACAUUAACCAAACCUCAAGUCAAAGAGCAAAAGAUAAACGGGAAAUUGUACCAAAAAUAUUGGUUUUCCACGGUAAGCAACGGUGCUGUAAGAUUUUACGGCCAGCAAUUUUACCAAAACGGUAAAAAAGUUGUGCCGAAAUUCAUAGCAAAGUUGGUUACACCCCUGUCUUUAGCGGUUUGGUUUAUGGAUGACGGAUCUUUAAAAUCUAAAUUCCACAGAGCUCGGGUUAUUAAUACUCAGUGCUUCAGUGAAAUAGAUUUAAAAAGACUCCGGGAUAUGCUAUUAAAAAAAUUUAAUAUCAAUACUACUUUAAGAAACCAGAACGAAGGAAAGCAAAUUUAUAUUCCUUCAACUGAAGUUGAAAAGUUCAUAUCAAUCGUGAAACCGUAUAUCCAUCAAUCAAUGGUAUACAAAAUUAAGGUAACAUAAUUGCCUAAAUGGUAACGGAGGCGUUUAUUAAGGUAGGCUAGGCAUGGAUGGAAAUCAUGCCGGUAGUGCAAACGCAUAAGCCUGCUUGACUGCAAGGGCGGCGACCCGCGCAGGCACGAAAGUGGAAGUUAGUGAUCCGAUGCGUUUCGAGUGGAAGACGCAAAGCCCAACGGAUAAAAGUUACUCUAGGGAUAACAGGCUGAUCUUCUCCAAGAGUCCAUAUCGACGAGAAGGUUUGGCACCUCGAUGUCGGCUCAUCGCAUCCUGGGGGUGUAGAAGCUCCCAAGGGUUUGGCUGUUCGCCAAUUAAAGCGGUACGCGAGCUGGGUUCAAAACGUCGUGAGACAGUAAAAGGAAAACCAUGCUGUCUAUAAAUUUAGCUAAAUGCUGGAAAAUCUGAGUAUUUCAUGCUACAAUAAUAUUGACCCUUUGGUCCUUAUUAAAGUAAUAAUGCAAUGAAUGCAGACAAUCAGCAGGAAAGGCUAUGCUGUUACAUUUCCGGAUAUGUUGAUGGCGAAGGAAGUUUUCAUGUCGCAAUCCAAAAGGUUGCUCAUGUAAAAUUUGGCUAUCAAAUAUUGCCUGAAUUUCAUGUAAGCCAAUCUAAAGAUAGACCAGUAGUGCUUGAGCUGAUUAAAAAGCUUUGGCAGUGCGGUUAUAUCAAGGAAAACUUUCGUGGAAAAGACAAUAAUUUGGUAUUCGUCGUUCGCAACCGGAAAGACUUGCUUUCUAAAGUGAUUCCUUUUUUCAGAAAUUUUCCCAUGCUUUCUACAAAGCAGGAAGAUUUUAAAAAAAUUUGCUUCAAUUGUUGAAGCAAUGGAAGAAGGAAGACAUUCUAACAAAGCAAACUUCUUAAAGCUUAUGAAAAUUGCCUUAUCUAUGAAUGGUAAUGGCAAAUAUCGUAAGUUAAAUAAAGAAGAAGUCAUUAAUAGUAUAGAAUCCUCAGAGACUACACGCUAAAUAAUUUCACUGUUAUAGUGAAAUAAAGAUAUAGUCCGAACUGCAUAGCGAUAUGCAGAAUCUGAUAGAAAUGUCGAUCACCAUGGAGCACUAUCUGUAAUAGAAAUGGUAAAGUGCAAAGUAACAUCAAUUGUUGGUCCUUAUCUGCUGUGGGUGUUCGAAACUUGAGUAGUCGCUUUUCUAGUACGAGAGGACCGAAAAGCAUAGACCUCUGGUGUACCCGUUGUCGCGUCAGCGGCACGGCGGGGUAGCUAGGUCUAGUUAGGAUAAGCGCUGAAGGCAUAUAAGCGUGAAGCCGUCUACAAAACUAGGUUUCGUUGUUCCUAAUUUUAGGAACGAAAGGUUCGCAGGAGACUACUGCGUACUUCAGUUAGGUUUUAGAUGUUAGGUGGAAGAUAUUAGUAGCAAUACUAAUAUCUGAAAUCUAUAAUCUGUUAUCUGACUUUAUAGGCUGCAGGUGUAAGCAUAGUAAUAUGUUUAGCCGAGCGGUACUAAUCAACCAAAAAAAGUUUUAUU
rnacentral:ncRNA from 1 species